rnacentral:rRNA from 1 species
GUCCACGCAGUAAACGAUGAUAACUCGUUGUCGGCGAUACACAGUCGGUGACUAAGCGAAAGCGAUAAGUUAUCCACCUGGGGAGUACGUUCGCAAGAAUGAAACUCAAAGGAAUUGACGGGGGCCCGCACAAGCGGAGGAACAUGUGGUUUAAUUCGAUGAUACGCGAGGAACCUUACCCGGGCUUGAAAGUUAGCGACGAUUCUUGAAAGAGGAUUUCCCUUCGGGGCGCGAAACUAGGUGCUGCAUGGUUGUCGU